rnacentral:SRP_RNA from 1 species
GCUGGGCACUGUGGGAGGCGCCUGUAGUCCCAGCUACUUGGGAGGCUGAGGCAAGAGAAUCUCGUAAGCCCAGGAGUUUGAGGUUCCUGUGAACUGUGACGACAUGGCACUCUACCCAGGGUGAUAGCUUGAGGCUCUGUCUAAAAAAAAAAACCUUGUCUUCUAGAAAUACAUACUAAAAUUUUUGUUGUUGUUUUUGAGAUACUUUGUUGCCCUUGGUAGAGUGCCAUGGCGUCACAGCUCACAGCAACCUCAAACUGUUGGGCUUAAGCAAGUCUCUUGCCUCAG